rnacentral:tRNA from 1 species
GCUCCAUUGGCGCAGUCGGUUAGCGCGUGGUACUUAUAAGUGAUGAUGAGAUAUGCCAAGGUCAUGGGUUCGAGCCCCAUAUGGAGCA